UCCGAAACGGGAGAGAUGUCCGGUGUUUUCAGCAUCUGCAGACAGAAGCUGUAGACCCGAGUCUCGUCGAUUCCGUCUGUCUGCCCUGCCUCCCGCCGCUGGUUUUUGGAGACCCGCAAGCCGAAAUACUGCAGUCCCGGCCGGGCUGCGGGGAGACGACUAGCCGGGGGUAGGAGAGACAACGACGGAUACCAACAGACAGAAGCCGGCGGCUGCUGUGCCGAGACCCAGGAAAUCAGUCUGCUCGUCUCGGCAGGCUGGUAGCAACACUGUGCACAUUUCAGUAGUUACAAAAUACAUCAGUUGAGGACUUGAGCAUGUGAACUCAACCACCCAAGACUGGUGAGUCUCGUCCCUUCGGUCGCAGAUCUUCUUUACCCUGAGUAGAAGUUACCAGAGUUUAGUUAAAGGAUGUCGAGCCGCCGGAAGUCGACCACGCCCUGCAUGGUGCUGCCCUCCGAUGUCGUGGAGCAGGAGGAGGUAGAGGAGAGAAUAGAGAGGACCAGGGAGGAGGAGGCAGAGGAGGAGGCGAAGAUGAAGGAGGGAGUAGAGGAGGGCCCGACAGCGGAGGAGCUGGGUGAGGCUGUCGUGGUGGUUCCUACCCCGCCAGACACAGAUGAGCCCAGCCUCCCUACAGUAGAAGACAGCAUCGUCCUCCGUGCAUCCCUAAAACGGAGUGCCACAAACCCUCUGGAGGAUCCAAACAGUGAUCAGCCAAUCCCAGAACAACAGUGCGACACGCCCGAGGAGGGAGGGGAAGACCCUGCGGCUGUGUCCGCCAUCUCUCUCAGCAAGACCCCCAUCAUGAAGAUGAAGAGCAAAUCUGAACCCAAGAGGAUAGCUGUGUCCCUGAAAUCAGCGGACGAGGCGAUGGAGGGUUUGGGGGGAGGCGGUGAGGGAGAAGAGGGAGGAGAGCAGGAGCCCAUUGAGGCUCCUUUGGGUCCAAUGACACCUGUUGAGAUGUUUCUCCAUGACUCCAUGAAGUUAGGAGGAGGAGGAGGUUUGCUGGUCAACCUGCCCUCAGAGCAGCAGAAGAAAUCUUCCAUGCUCAACCCCACUGUCCUGCCUGCUGGCCUGGCACAGGUGCUGUCAGCUCUCCAGGCCCAGCAGAGCGCAGCAGCAGCGCAGCCCCAGCUCCUAAUUCCCCUCAGCAGCAUCCCAUCCUACAGCGCGG
rnacentral:lncRNA from 1 species